UACCAGGCACCCCGAGUGGUCGGGACGAUUAUUGGGCCUAAAGCAUCCGUAGCCGGCCUUACAAGUCCUCCGUUAAAUCCAGCUGCUUAACAGAUGGGCUGCGGAGGAUACUAUAAGACUAGGAGGCAGGAGAGGCAAGCGGUACUCAGUGGGAUAGGGGUGAAAAUCCGUUGGAGUCCAUUGAAGACCACCAGUGGCGAAGGC
rnacentral:rRNA from 1 species